CUCAGGGAAGCGACUAUGCUGGACCUCUCUCCUGACAGGAACAGGACAUCUGAAACUGAACUAGAUGUGCAGGUUUAGACAGCUGGCUCCCACCUCUGUGGGGACUUGAAGGACGUGGAGGUCAGGGAAAUCUCUGGGGACCACCCAGCUCCCAGAGCCACACUGCAGGUUUGCUGCAGACUCAAGCAGACUCUCCAUCUCUUUGCUCCAAGUUUUCAGCUUGCCUUCCACCCUUUCCACCAUCUGCAAGAAACAGAAAUGUUUUCUUCCCUCCUUCUUGGACACCCGCCCUCUGGACUCACUUUGAGCUGUCAGGAACAGCUAACCAGCCUCACGUUUACAUGCUGAGAGCCAGAUUACUCCCAAAUUUACCGCUCUCUAUCAAGAGGGAUGAAUGAAAAAUAAGAAGGCAGAAGCUCAGGCCUGGACCUCCGUUGCCCACCCAGUAGGUGUCUAAAUGUUAAACCAAAAUGAAAAGCCACAGCAGCAUGGAAGUUGUAGUAUGACUAUCAAAGCAUAAUACUUCAGCAGAGAUAUGCUGAUUGUGUAGAUAUGAAUCAUUACGAUGCUUUCUGCUGCAGAGACGAGAAGAAAAGCAGAAGAAUCGCAACUUCA